rnacentral:rRNA from 1 species
CCUACGGGAGGCAGCAGUCGAGAAUCAUUCACAAUGGGGGAAACCCUGAUGGUGCGACGCCGCGUGGGGGAAUGAAGGUCUUCGGAUUGUAAACCCCUGUCAUGUGGGAGCAAAUUAAAAAGAUAGUACCCCAAGAGGAAGAGACGGCUAACUCUGUGCCAGCAGCCGCGGUAAUACAGAGGUCUCAAGCGUUGUUCGGAAUCACUGGGCGUAAAGCGUGCGUAGGCUGUUUCGUAAGUCGUGUGUGAAAGGCGCGGGCUCAACCCGCGGACGGCACAUGAUACUGCGAGACUAGAGUAAUGGAGGGGGAACCGGAAUGCGAGGUGUAGCAGUGAAAUGCGUAGAUAUCGAGAGGAACACUCGUGGCGAAGGCGGGUUCCUGGACAUUAACUGACGCUGAGGCACGAAGGCCAGGGGAGCGAAAGGGAUUAGAUACCCCAGUAGUC